rnacentral:rRNA from 1 species
CUACGGGGUGCUCCAGUGAGGAAUAUUGCACAAUGGGGGGAACCCUGAUGCAGCAACGCCGCGUGGAGGAUGACGCAUUUCGGUGUGUAAACUCCUUUUAUAUGUCAAGAAAAUGACGGUAGCAUAUGAAUAAGCACCGGCUAACUCCGUGCCAGCAGCCGCGGUAAUACGGAGGGUGCAAGCGUUACUCGGAAUCACUGGGCGUAAAGGACGCAUAGGCGGGGUGGAAAGUCAGGUGUGAAAUCCUACAGCUUAACUGUAGAACUGCACUUGAAACUUCUAAUCUAGGGGAUGGGAGGGGGAGAUGGAAUUAGUGGGGUAGGGGUAAAAUCCGUAGAUAUCACUAGGAAUACCUAAAGCGAAGGCGAUCUCCUGGAACAUUACUGACGCUAAGGCGUGAAAGCGGGGGAGCAAACAGGAUUAGAUACCCUAGUAGUC